CCAAUAGCGUAUAUUAAAGUUGUUGCAGUUAAAAAGCUCGUAGUUGAAUUUCGGGAUCAAGGAAUCGGUCAUGCCUUGGUAUGUACUGGUUUUAUUGGUUCUCACCUUCUAAAGAACUAUAAUGUCAUUUAUUUGAUGUUAUGGGGAAUUAGGACUGUUACCUUGAAAAAUUUAGAGUGUUUAAAGCAGGCUUUAGCUUGAAUACAUUAGCAUGGAAUAAUGAAAUAGGACGUUCGAACCUAUUUUGUUGGUUUCUAGGAUCAACGUAAUGAUUAAUAGGGAUAGUUGGGGGCAUUAGUAUUCAAUUGUCAGAGGUGAAAUUCUUGGACUUAUUGAAGACUAACUACUGCGAAAGCAUUUGCCAAGGAUGUUUUCAUUAAUCAAGAACGAAAGUUAGGGGAUCGAAGACGAUCAGAUACCGUCGUAGUCUUAACCAUAAACUAUGCCGACUAGGGAUCGGAUGAUGUUAAUUUUUUAAUGACUCAUUCGGCGCCUUACG
rnacentral:rRNA from 1 species